rnacentral:rRNA from 1 species
GACGAACGCUGGCGGCGUGCUUAACACAUGCAAGUCGAACGGAAAGGCCCUGCUUUUGUGGGGUGCUCGAGUGGCGAACGGGUGAGUAACACGUGAGUAACCUGCCCUUGACUUUGGGAUAACUUCAGGAAACUGGGGCUAAUACCGGAUAGGAGCUCCUGCUGCAUGGUGGGGGUUGGAAAGUUUCGGCGGUUGGGGAUGGACUCGCGGCUUAUCAGCUUGUUGGUGGGGUAGUGGCUUACCAAGGCUUUGACGGGUAGCCGGCCUGAGAGGGUGACCGGCCACAUUGGGACUGAGAUACGGCCCAGACUGCUACGGGAGGCAGCAGUGGGGAAUAUUGCACAAUGGGCGGAAGCCUGAUGCAGCAACGCCGCGGGCGGGAUGACGGCCUUCGGGUUGUAAAACGCUUUCGCCUGUGACGAAGCGUGAGUGACGGUAAUGGGUAAAGAAGCACCGGCUAACUACGUG